GAUUGGCAAGACUGGUCGCCCAUCUCCUCUUCCCAAAAUCCAAUCAGGAGUUUUGCUGCAAAGAGGAGCAUAACCAUGGGACAAAAGCAACAGAAAAGAAACGGGAGAGGAAGGAGCCCAAGUGGCUUUCUCCUGAUUAUACUCACAGUCAAGGGAUGGAAGAGCCCCAGAGAAGUGAGUGCAGGACUUCAGUACACCUCUCCACACCACAGCCCUCCAGACAACUCAUUCAGGUGACAACCUAUCAAAUCAUUGGAGAGAAUACCCCACUAGAAACAAAAACUCCCACCCCCUCUCAAGAAUUGUGAAUCU